rnacentral:tRNA from 1 species
CCAAAAUAAAAGAUUAAACUUUUUUUAGAA